GGCGAGAUACUCAAGCGGUCAACGAGGGCAGACUGUAAAUCUGCUGGCUAACGCCUUCCAAGGUUCGAAUCCUUGCCUCGCCACCA
rnacentral:tRNA from 1 species